rnacentral:rRNA from 1 species
CCUACGGUGGGCAGCAGUGCGGAAUAUUGGUCAAUGGACGAGAGUCUGAACCAGCCAAGUAGCGUGAAGGAUGACUGCCCUAUGGGUUGUAAACUUCUUUUAUAUGGGAAUAAAAUGUUCCACGUGUGGGAUUUUGUAUGUACCAUAUGAAUACGGAUCGGCUAACUCCGUGCAAGCAGCCGCGGUAAUACGGAGGAUGCGAGGGUUAUCCGGCUUUAUUGGGUUAAAGGGGUGCGUAGGCGGAUUUUUAAGUUAGCGGGAAAAUGGCCGGGCUCAACCCGGGCCGGCCGUUGAAGCUGGGGAUCUUGAGUGGGCGAGAAGUAUGCGGAAUGCGUGGUGUAGCGGUGAAAUGCAUAGAUAUCACGCAGAACUCCGAUUGCGAAGGCAGCAUACCGGCGCCCGACUGACGCUGAGGCACGAAAGCGUGGGGAUCGAACAGGAUUAGAUACCCUUGUAGUC